ensembl:lncRNA
AGAACUCAGAUGCUAAAAAGUAGUUGCUGUCUACUGGUUAAAAUGCCAACAUCAUCAUCCUCUCGAGUUUUGGACACUCACUGGAUAUUUCCUGAGCUAAUAAAAUGGUCGUUUGCCAGAAUGUCAAGAUUCUAUUCCUGGUCCAUCUGCUUCCAUGUCUUCUAUUUAGGCAGGGUUGGUAUUGCAAAAAGAAAAAAAAGAAGGAAAGAAGUUGCUGUGUGGAGGUGGUUCUUCAAUUGUCAGGACUCCCGGGGCUGUGGACCUGAAACACCUUGCUCACUUUGGCCGUCACUGAUCUUUAAUAUUCCCAACACCCUGAUCAUUAUAUAUGAGCCGGGAUCAAAAUAUAUGGUGAGUACUUCAAUACAAAACAUUUUAUUACAAUAAAAGACACAUUGCCAUAAAUCCCUCCCCAAACCUCUCUCCUUGCAUCAAACACACUUACCCCAUUGUUCUUGGCACUUUCUGAAGCAGCUUUGGAAGUCUUUCUUGAAUGUCUUUUCGAUGAAAUACAGUGGAUGCUGCUGCCGAGUGUCGUCCAAUGGAAAGGCAGCCUUGUGAAAACAUGACAGUGUGUCCUCAUCUAUCUUAUUCUCUGGACCUGGCACUGUGUGACCUCUGACUCAUUCCCAAAGUCAAAAUGACCAUGAAAGGUAGCAUUUUGAAUCAAUUCAGG